GAUGAACGCUGGCGGCGUGCCUAAUACAUGCAAGUCGAGCGAACGGACGAGAAGCUUGCUUCUCUGAUGUUAGCGGCGGACGGGUGAGUAACACGUGGAUAACCUACCUAUAAGACUGGGAUAACUUCGGGAAACCGGAGCUAAUACCGGAUAAUAUUUUGAACCGCAUGGUUCAAAAGUGAAAGACGGUCUUGCUGUCACUUAUAGAUGGAUCAGCGCUGCAUUAGCUAGUUGGUAAGGUAACGGCUUACCAAGGCAACGAUGCAUAGCCGACCUGAGAGGGUGAUCGGCCACACUGGAACUGAGACACGGUCCAGACUCCUACGGGAGGCAGCAGUAGGGAAUCUUCCGCAAAGGGCGAAAGCCUGACGGAGCAACGCCGCGUGAGUGAUGAAGGUCUUCGGAUCGUAAAACUCUGUUAUUAGGGAAGAACAUAUGUGUAAGUAACUGUGCACAUCUUGACGGUACCUAAUCAGAAAGCCACGGCUAACUACGUG
rnacentral:rRNA from 1 species